GAACUAAUAUUAGCACUAUGAAAAUAUGCAAGCAUGUGUUAAUGGAUUAGUCUUUAGGAAAACAUCUCUCGAACAUUCUCCUAACUUGAUUCAAUCAAUAAUUCAACAAGCACUUUCGAUUACUUAAGAGAAUUACUGAAUUAAAUCAAAUAAAAUAAUACAAAGAUAAUCUCCAAAAUAUUUCUCUUUCGAUUAAAUAAACCGGUGAAUAAAGUUAUAACAAUUCAAAGCUCAUAAACGAAUUCAAGCUAAGAACUAGAGUUAAAAUCUACAAAUAUCAAUUAAAACACCAUAUCCAUCAAACCCUAAGGGAAACUACUCCAUAAUCAUGGAAGAAGUCAUCACAAAUAUAAUUAAAGAGCAAGAAAAUAUCAAUAUAACGUUACAAUCCAAACUCCCGUAUUGAAUUGAUGAAAAGAUGAUGAAAUUCUGUAUCUUGUAGCCUGCAAUGCUCUCCUAAAGCUUUCAAGGUCAAAAGUCCCUUCAAAAAUAUUUUUUUGUGUAUUUAUACCAUGUACGAGAGGGCCCGGGCGAAACUACCAUUUUCAAGUUGAAAUGGGAAAAUACUCUGAGAAAAUUGUACAGGCGCGCCGCGCCAUGCGCCGCCUCAUGUGGGGGCGUUAGUGGAAAAGUUCAGAGAGCAGAUUCUGACAGGGUAGUGGCAUGACAGUAUACUUUUUACAGAGUAAUUCAUUUUCUUCAAAUUUUGAUAUCCAGACUUUACUCUCGAUCUCCGAACGCGAUUCCGAUUUAAUCUCUUGGGCUUUUACUCAGACUUCAAAGCUCCAACUUGUUAGGUUUAGCUCCCGAUUAUCUUUUUAACUAGGAAUCACUUCUUGUAAGGUAUAAAACACAUAAUAAGUGCAGUUCACUAUCAUUCAAGCUCAAACACAAAUAAAAUGCAGUAAUUAGAGUGCAAAUUACGACUAAAAUAUGGGAUUCUAGCCUACCAUCAUACGAUUUGAAUGAUUCCUAUUAUACAUCCAUCUACGAUCCCCAAAUUCCAUCUACACAAACAAAUAUAAUUGCUAAACUUCUCUAAACUUCACUAUUAUCUUCAUUUCAUAAGUAAGAAAUUAGAUUUUUAAAACAAAAGUUACGUAAUUAAAUAUGCUCAUAAUUUUUCACUCUAUCCCCAAUCCCAACAAACUUUCUUGAUGCUUUUUCAACAAACCUUAAUCCAAAAUAUAAUUAAGGUGAUAUUAUGUACAUUUUUCUUAUUGCAUAAUAAUUAAUAAAAUGCCAUAUCUUUGCAAGUCUUAGAAUUGCAUAUUUAGAGCUUUAGUUAUAAUGAUUUCUCAAGAUGUCAACUUAGAUAAAGGAAAGGGCAUCAUUUUUCGUCGUUAAUUAUUAAGGAGUAGAUUUCUUGAUCAAUACCAUAUACAAAUUAAACAAAACUAGCACACAAGUAUAUAUAAUUCACUUGAACAUAAUAUUAUGAAGAGGAAUUAAGAAAAUUCAAAGUCUAAAGGUUAAUUAUUACUAGUCCACUCAAAAUAAAGUAAGUUAAAAAGCCAUAUAGAAUAACUAGAUAGUUAAAAAAUAUAUAAACAAAAAUAUAUUAAGAACAAAUAUAUCAAAAUUCUACUUGAAUUGCAAUAAACAACUAGCUAGUUACAAACAAAUAAUAUAUAGAACAAAUAUAUUAAGAUUCAUAAAACAAAAAUCGAAGAAAUUAAAUAUAUUAAGAUUCUACUUAUAUUGCAAUAAAAAAAUAAAAAUAAAACAAAUAUACUAUGAUUCAAAGCGGCUAAAGGAUGAGCGUAAAACUUACCUCGCCGGAAGAUAACCACGCCCAGACACCGUAGUUGCUGGACGCCGGAGUUGCUGCCUGAAAAAGAAAAAAAAUUAAGAUGGGGUUCAAAUACAUGAAAUCUGGCCGCGAGAAAGGGAGGAGGGAGAGAGAUAGGGAGGAGGAAGAGAGUGGUUCUCAUAGCCGGAAUUUGAUACUCAAAGCAGACCGCCGGUGAUGGAGGAGAAAGAAAGGAAGAAAAGAGAAAGAGGAGGAGAAAAGAAGAAAUGGGUCCGGGGGAGAGUUUUAAAUUAAAUUUCUGACCGAUUUAGCAGGGAAAAAAAGUAAAAUUAAAAUAAUAAUAAAAUUUCCGAUCAUUUUGGUCAGUAAAGGACUGACAAUAUUUAAAAUUUUUCGACCAUUUCAGUGGAAAGUUCAAAAGUGGUCAAACUUUAAAAAGUUGCUUUCAUGGACCGACCGAAUCGGUCGCAAAAUAAAUUCACGGAUUUUCACGCCAACUUAUUGCGACAAGUGUUGUCGAUAUGUUGUCGAAAUUAUAAGAAAAGAAAUUAAACAAUUUUUUUUGGCAAUUUCUGACCGAGUCUGUUGGAAAUCUC
rnacentral:lncRNA from 1 species